ACGCUGGCGGCAGGCUUAACACAUGCAAGUCGAACGAUGAUUACUAGCUUGCUAGUAUGAUUAGUGGCGAACGGGUGAGUAAUGCUUAGGAAUCUACCUAUUAGUGGGGGACAACAUUCCGAAAGGAAUGCUAAUACCGCAUACGUCCUAUGGGGGAAAGCAGGGGAUCGCAAGACCUUGUGCUAAUAGAUGAGCCUAAGUCGGAUUAGCUAGUUGGUGGGGUAAAGGCCUACCAAGGCGACGAUCUGUAGCUGGUCUGAGAGGAUGAUCAGCCACACUGGGACUGAGACACGGCCCAGACUCCUACGGGAGGCAGCAGUGGGGAAUAUUGGACAAUGGGCGAAAGCCUGAUCCAGCCAUGCCGCGUGUGUGAAGAAGGCCUUUUGGUUGUAAAGCACUUUAAGUGGGGAGGAAAAGUUGACGGUUAAUACCCGCCAGCCCUGACGUUACCCACAGAAUAAGCACCGGCUAACUCUGUGCCAGCAGCCGCGGUAAUACAGAGGGUGCAAGCGUUAAUCGGAAUUACUGGGCGUAAAGCGAGCGUAGGUGGUCAUUUAAGUCAGAUGUGAAAUCCCCGGGCUUAACCUGGGAACCGCAUCUGAUACUGGGUGACUAGAGUAGGUGAGAGGGAAGUAGAAUUCCAGGUGUAGCGGUGAAAUGCGUAGAGAUCUGGAGGAAUACCGAUGGCGAAGGCAGCUUCCUGGCAUCAUACUGACACUGAGGUUCGAAAGCGUGGGUAGCAAACAGGAUUAGAUACCCUGGUAGUCCACGCCGUAAACGAUGUCUACCAGUCGUUGGGUCUCUUGAAGACUUAUUGACGCAGUUAACGCGAUAAGUAGACCGCCUGGGGAGUACGGCCGCAAGGUUAAAACUCAAAUGAAUUGACGGGGCCCGCACAAGCGGUGGA
rnacentral:rRNA from 1 species